rnacentral:rRNA from 1 species
AACGAACGCUGGCGGCAUGCCUAACACAUGCAAGUCGAACGAGAACUUCGGGUCUAGUGGCGCCCGGGUGCGUAACGCGUGGGAACAUGCCCUUAGGUUCGGCAUAACUCUCCGAAAGGGGUGCUAAUACCGGACAAUGUCUUCGGACGAAAGAUUUAUCGACUUGGGAUGGGCCCGCGUUGGAUUAGCUAGUUGGUAGGGUAAAAGCCUGCCAAGGCGACGUUCCAUAGCUGGUUUGGGAGGAUGCUCAGCCACACUGGGACUGAGACACGGCCCAGACUCCUACGCGAGGCAGCAGAGUAGAAUAGAGUACGAGGGGCGAAGGCCUGAUCCAGCAAUGCCGCGUAAGUGAUGAAGGCCGUAGUGAUGUAAAGCUCUUUUACCCGGGAUGAUAAUGACGGUACCGGGAGAAUAAGCUCCGGCUAACUCCGUG